UCUCCUGGAAACGGGUGGUAAUGCCGGAUGUUCCACAUGAGCGCAUGCGAGUGUGGGAAAGGCUUUUUGCGGCAUGGGAUGGGGUCGCGUCCUAUCAGCUUGUUGGUGGGGUAACGGCCUACCAAGGCGUUGACGGGUAGCCGGCCUGAGAGGGCGACCGGCCACAUUGGGACUGAGAUACGGCCCAGACUCCUACGGGAGGCAGCAGUGGGAAAUAUUGCACAAUGGGCGCAAGCCUGAUGCAGCGACGCCGCGUGCGGGAUGGAGGCCUUCGGGUUGUAAACCGCUUUUGUUCAAGGGCAAGGCACGGUUUCGGCCGUGUUGAGUGGAUUGUUCGAAUAAGCACCGGCUAACUACGUGCCAGCAGCCGCGGUAAUACGUAGGGUGCAAGCGUUAUCCGGAUUUAUUGGGCGUAAAGGGCUCGUAGGCGGUUCGUCGCGUCCGGUGUGAAAGUCCAUCGCUUAACGGUGGAUCCGCGCCGGGUACGGGCGGGCUUGAGUGCGGUAGGGGAGACUGGAAUUCCCGGUGUAACGGUGGAAUGUGUAGAUAUCGGGAAGAACACCA
rnacentral:rRNA from 1 species